AGCCCGUUCUCUUUGAGGUCGGGCAUUGGAAUGGAUGGAAUCUAAACAGUUCCAUGAGUAUCAACGAGAGGGCAAGUCUGGUGCCAGCAGCCGCGGUAAUUCCAGCUCUCGUAAUGUAUAGAAUUAUUGUUGCGGUUAAAAAGUUCGUAGUUGGAUUUUCUACCGUUCGGCGGUUGGGUUUAACGACUCAGACUGUCGGCGGUUUUUGCGCUAUGACUGGCUUGCUAGUCUUAGUGCGGAUUACUUUGAACGGCUUAAGUGCUCAAGGCGAGUCUUCGGACUGAAUACCGGUGCAUGGAAUAAUGAACAAGGUCACGGCCGAGUUUUAUUGGUUUUGUCGGCUGAGACAAUGGUUAACAGGAACAGCUGGGGGCACUCGUAUCGCUGCGCGAGAGGUGAAAUUCGAGGACCGCAGCGAGACGCCCUAAAGCGAAGGCAUUUGCCAAGAGUGUUUUCAUUAAUCAAGAACGAAAGUCAGAGGUUCGAAGGCGAUUAGAUACCGCCCUAGUUCUGACCGUAAACGAUGCCAACUAUCAAUCCGCCAGUGGCUUUUAGUCAUUGGCGGGCGGAUCGACGGAAACGAAAGUUUUUCGGUUCCGGGGGAAGUAUGGUUGCAAAGCUGAAACUUAAAGGAAUUGACGGAAGGGCACCACCAGGAGUGGAGCUUGCGGCUUAAUUUGACCCAACACGGGAAACCUCACCCGGCCAGUACAUCAUAAGGAUUGACAGAUUGAAAGCUCUUUCAUGAUUUGAUGAAUGGUGGUGCAUGGCCGUUCUUAGUUCGUGGCGUGAGUCGUCUGCUUAAUUGCGAUAACGAGCGAGACUCCGACUGCUAAAUACUGUCUGGAUAAUUUCGUCCUUCACAGUUCUUAGCUGGAUUCGAGACUCCAAGUCUCAAGAAAUGGAGCAAUAACAGGUCUGUGAUGCCCUUAGAUGUUCGGGGCCGCACGCGUGCUACAAUGAUGGUAACAGCGUGAUUGUCCUCGCUCGACAGAGCUUGGCAAACAGUUGAGAUAUUAUUAUGGCUGGAAUUGAGUGUUGAAAUUUUCUCUCAUGAACGAGGAAUUCCAAGUAAAUGCGCGUCAUCAACGUGCAUUGAUUACGUCCCUGCCCUUUGUACACACCGCCCGUCGCUACCCGGGACUGAGUUGUUUCGAGAAAUCUACGGACCGAUUGUGCGUUGGCAACAACUCACUGUUGGAAAGUAAAUUAAUCGCAAUGGCUUGAACCGGGUAAAAGUCGUAACAAGGUAUCAGUAGGUGAACCUGCUGAUG
rnacentral:rRNA from 1 species